GUCCCUUCAGGGGCAUCUGAUAAAAUUGGAACAUUACAUAGAAGAUUAGCAUGGCCCCUGCUCAAGGAUGGCACGCACAAAUCAAGAAAUAAUGUUAUUUUUG
rnacentral:snRNA from 1 species